rnacentral:rRNA from 1 species
AGAUUAAACUAAAGAGUUUGAUCCUGGCUCAGAUUGAACGCUGGCGGCAUGCCUUACACAUGCAAGUCGAACGGCAGCACGGAGCUUGCUCUGGUGGCGAGUGGCGAACGGGUGAGUAAUAUAUCGGAACGUACCCAGGAGUGGGGGAUAACGUAGCGAAAGUUACGCUAAUACCGCAUACGUCCUAAGGGAGAAAGUGGGGGCUCGCAAGACCUCAUGCUCAUGGAGCGGCCGAUAUCUGAUUAGCUAGUUGGUAGGGUAAAAGCCUACCAAGGCAACGAUCAGUAGCUGGUCUGAGAGGACGACCAGCCACACUGGAACUGAGACACGGUCCAGACUCCUACGGGAGGCAGCAGUGGGGAAUUUUGGACAAUGGGCGAAAGCCUGAUCCAGCAAUGCCGCGUGAGUGAAGAAGGCCUUCGGGUUGUAAAGCUCUUUUGUCAGGGAAGAAAAGGGAUUGGCUAAUAUCUGGUCCUCAUGACGGUACCUGAAGAAUAAGCACCGGCUAACUACGUGCCAGCAGCCGCGGUAAUACGUAGGGUGCAAGCGUUAAUCGGAAUUACUGGGCGUAAAGCGUGCGCAGGCGGUUUUGUAAGACU